UUUUUUUUUUUAAAGAGGGAGCAUGAUAGUAGAACUGGACCCUUUCUUAUUACAUGUAGAGGACUGUAUGUUAGACCCACCAGUGAUGGCACCAGGCCCUGUGUCCCUCCUAAGUAAAACUUCUUUGUUCAUAGCUCAUAGGGCAGGUAUACCAUGUGACCUCAUAGUCUUCCCUAUCCAAAUCCAGAGAUUCGCCAAUUACCUACAAUGUGUCCUGGUACAAAAAGAUAUUCAGGCCAAUCAGACUUUUUUCAUGUAGACCAAAUUAGGAACUCAGAAAGAAAUGGGAGGUAUGUCAAAGGACAUAUAGAGAACAUUCACAAUAUAUGCUUGGGGUCAUAAGUCAAGGUCAAGUUGGAGUUGGGCAAAAGCAGAAAAUAUUAAAGGAGAAACAAGAAAAUAUAUGGAGGUAAAAGGGAGAAAACCUCAGGAAACUGGUGAUGGGCAGGAAAAGGCAAGCAGAAAUAUUAGCGACAUAUCACUGUAGGGCAGCCAAGAAGUCUGGAAACAGAUAGUAUUUUAUUGUACAUUUUAAUGCAGUAUCAGUGAAGUAUUUAUUAUGCGUUGGUUACAUUUACAGACUUGAAAUUCAGCCUGUAGGUGGAAAUUCAGUAGCCUGGCUCUGCUGUGGAUCCCACUCAAGUUGUCUGACUUUUCCUGUAUUCCAGUGCAUUUGUAUUCACUGUAUACCAUCUUGCCAUCCCCAAUAUUUCUGGGGAUAACUAAAGUGAAUCUUUUUUGCUAGCAACCAGAAGAUGCUAACUGAACUAGACUCUUUGAGGGUGAAGCACAUUUUCUAACAUAGGUUUAUAUACUAUUUUUGGCUGGGGAGAUUUUUCGUGUGUGUGUCUUACCUUUUCUGUAAUCUAUGCUCCUGAGACUUCUGAAAACUUACAUUUGUCUUAAGUGCUGUGCAUCUAUCAGUGCUUUUCUUUGUGUAAAUAUUUCUACCAUGAUGUAAACUGCAGUGUUUGAUUAAAGCCCAUUGAUUUGUCUUGCAGAACAGAAAACAAACCAUUCAGUUUACUUCAGUCAAAUCUAAUGCUAACUCUAAUACCAUGCUUGCCAAAACUUCCAUUAAAGACAUAUGCCUUGACUCAUUGAUUCCAAUAAUAGGGAAAAGCACCAUUCCCCAGCAGCUGGAGAUUUGAUAUUGCUUUUGAGGGAAAAAAAAAAACCUGCCAAAAUAUUUAUAUAGCUUGAGAACUCUAGAAGCCUCUUAGUAGCAGGCAGGAUUCUAUGAUCUCUAGUAGCACAGAAAUUGCUAGUUCUUGAGGAAGUCUAAAUUGGCUCAUAGUAAGAACAUGGAUGAGACAAGUAACAGAAUAAAAGUUAAAGUAAUAAUGUUGGGAAUCACAGACAUCUAGAAGAGACACGCAGACACACAAAAAAACAAAUCUCAGACUAAGAAUAGUAUCAUCAUUAAACCCAAACUUAAUACUUAGUGUCUCAGUAACCGAGGCAAGAGGGAAACUAGAUGAUGAUUAGUUCUUAUUAUCUAACUACAAGAUGUACCACAUUUUACCUCGCUAAACAAAACCUUAAUCUUUUCCUGGUCCAUUGAUUAGAGGUGAAUAUAUUAGGAUGUCCUUAUGUAUGAUUAGAAGUGAAUGUAUUAUGAUGUCCUUAUGUAUUAUGACAGCAUUGAAUAUUAUGAACUUCAACCUACGUGUUAGUAACCAUAUCUAUAAAUACAGUCAACAGAUAAUUAUAUACUAAAUGGUGUUUUCCUUUUUACUAAAAGUUCUUACAGAUUACAUGUUCAGUGUUUUUAUUUUUAUUUUUUUACCUCAGCCUUGAGGACAGUCAAAAACUUUAAAUGAUAAUUAUGUAAAGACAAGUUUACAGAGGCCCGGGGUAGACAGUGAGCGAUAUUUUCAAGAUACAUACCUGUCAUGUAUGCACAGGAUGAAACAUUGAUCCCAGGCCUUGCUUGCACUCCCAGAUUUAACUUUGACAUUCUCACAUAAGCUUCUACCAUUCAUUUCUAUUGAACCAUCUGUAGCUGCCUGGAAAAUUUUAUGUUGCCAUUUGCUUUCUUGCCCUUUCAUUUACCCUGCCUUUAUCUGGAACACCUUGAUAGCUAUUCAAUUUUGUGUAACUUUUUCUUAUUUUAACUCUAGCACUGCCUACUGCCUAGGAGGACAAGGAGCAUGGUGCUGGGUACAUACAGGCACCAGAACAUUCCUGAGGACUCACACCACAGGGAAAGAAUAUAGGUGCAUAGGAGACAUACAGGGAAGAUGAGGAGGCAGAGUGACUGCAGAGGCAGAGAAGAGAGUGAUGAGGCCACGAAUCAAGGAUUGUCAAGAUCAGCCAGAAGCCUGAAGAGGCAAGGGAAAGGGGAGGAUCCUGCCCUAGAGCUUUUGGAAGAAGCAUGGCUUUGCUGACACCUUGAUUGUGGGCUUCUGCCUCCAGAACUGCAAGAGAAUACAUUUCUGUUGCUUUAUGCUUCCCAGUUUGUGGUCACGUGUUCCAAAGAUAGUAGUAUAGCUCCUUUUUACUUUCUUUUCCUCUCCAUUUAAGUUUUUCUAUCCUUUUGUGCAUUUGUCCAUUUAUGCCCUUCAUGAAAAUCUCACACACUCUCUCUCUCUCAUUGUUGUAUCAUUGCCAAGACAAAGCACAAAACAAUAAUUUAAUGCAUGUGGGUAUGAUUGGACUUUUAUGCAAAGUUGAUUGACUGUUAAGCCAACUGACCAUAUUUUUAAUAUGAAUGAAAAUACAAAUUACUUGGCAGUUUUGGUAAAAAUGCAGAGUCCCAAUGUUUUCACCCUAACACAUUUCUGAUUUUAUUGGUCUGAGAUGUGACCUGUGAACCAGUAUUUUCUAACAAGAAUCUGAGGGACUCUUAUAUAGAUGGCUAACAAUCCAUACUAAGGAAACAUUAAAGUAAGGCAUGGUUCCCUUUGUUUGCUAUCAAGAACUGAUGUAUAUUUGUGGUAUGUCAGUCUAAAAGCCCAUUACAAUCCAGGAAGUAAUGUCUAUAGGUCAAAUCCCAGGCCUCCGUAAAAAUAUAAGUAAUCUCAAAAGGAUUUGGUUAGACUCACGUUUAAUAAUUCACAGUGGCUAAUUCAAGGAAAUGAGGGUGGUUCCUUAACCUCUGAGUUGAAAGCCAAGGGGGUGUAGCAUAACAUUUCCCAGCAUGUUCUUUACUGCCACUGCCUGGGAGUGGAUUCUACACAGGCCUGGCGGGCCCAUGUUCCCACACACUGGGCCAAUUUUUGUUCCUGGCUCAGGGCUGUGCUUACUUAGAGGCGUAAUGGCUUUGUCUGUUUUGCUCCUCAGUGGGGCACAUCUCGCAUCUAUUUUGUUUAGGAACUCUAAACACAGUCUACAGUCCAAAGGGAAGCUCAGCUGUGGAACUCUGAAAAGGAUCUGGCUAGAAGCAGCCACAACACACUUUUUUUUCCCAUGCUUCUCAUCGUCCUUCUCAGACCUGGGAGGUUUUUCAGAGUACUUGAUGCUGCAGGCUGUUGGCUGAAACCACCCAUCCGGGAGCAUGUCCACCUCUUGCUUCUUGGUUGGCUAUAAACUCUGGUACAUCCAGGACAGAAAGUGGAAGCUGAAAAGGGCAAUCAGUUUGUGCCUAAAGGAGGCCAUUGUUUACCCCUUAUGAAAAUAAUGGGAAACAUAGUACAUUCUCACUCAUAAGUGGGAGCUAAGCUGUGAGGAUGAAAAGGCAUCAGAAGGGCACAUGGAGUUUGGGGUCUCAGUGGGAAAGGGUGAGAAGGGGGCGAGAGAUAAAGGACUACAAAUUGGGUUGACUGUAUACUGUUUGGGUGAUGGGUGGAUCAAGAUCUCACAACUCACUACU